rnacentral:rRNA from 1 species
UGCCAGGAAAGAAUUAUUCAAGCCCUUCCCAGAAGGUAUCCUUCUGGCAAGGGUACUGUACUAAACUAACUAAAGUGGGGGAUAGUGAGGGGAUAAAUUUUCUUAAGGAACUCGGCAAAAUCCCAAUGGCCCACCAGGGCAUAUUGGAACACGGGCCUCGACUGUUUACCAAAAACAUAGCCCUCGGCUAAUAUGAAAAUAGAUGUAUAGAGGGUGAUGCCUGCCCAAUGGUUGUAUCUAAAAGCGGUUGAUAAAAGUUGACCUCGUAAGGACAAUUGAAUGGCCGCGGUAACACUGACCGUGAUAAUGUAGCGUAAUCAAUAGCCAAUUAAUUGUUGGCCAGUAUGAAUGGCGCCACGAAGGCCCCACUGUCUUAAGGAAAUUCCCAGUGAAAUUGAAUUCGUAGUGAAGAUGCUACGUCCAAUUUGUUAGACGAAAAGACCCCGUUGAGCUUUACUGGAGCACUUACAUGGCCCCGGCCUUCCCAUGCCUGGGAACCGGCCGAAUUUAAAUGGGCGGCUUAGAUUAUGUGGCAGCCCCCCGCUGGGGCAAAUGAAACACCACUCCCCCAUGUCAAAGGGGCUAACCCCCCCCCUUGGGGGGACAGUGUAAGUAGGACAGUUUGGUUGGGGCGACCACCUUUUAAAAAGUAACGAAGGUGCGCUUAAGGUGCGCAAUUAAUGACUGAAGCCUGACUGCGAGGGGGACACCCCGAGCAGACACCCCAAAGCCCGCCCGAAWGGCGGCGGUGGGGUGGGCCAUAGUGACCC